GCUUGGUAGCUAAGUGGAUAAAGCGCUUAUAGCUAUUUCCCAAGGUUGAUGGUUCGAUUCCAUUCUGGAGCA